GAUGAAGAACGUAGCGAAAUGCGAUACGUAAUGUGAAUUGCAGAAUUCAGUGAAUCAUCGAGUCUUUGAACGCACAUUGCGCCCCCUGGUAUUCCGGGGGGCAUGCCUGUCCGAGCGUCAUUGCUGCCCUCAAGCCCGGCUUGUGUGUUGGGUCUCGUCCCCCUUCCCGGGGGGACGGGCCCGAAAGGCAGCGGCGGCACCGCGUCCGGUCCUCGAGCGUAUGGGGCUUUGUCACCCGCUCUGUAGGCCCGGCCGGCGCUUGCCGAUCAACCAAAACUUUUUUCCAGGUUGACCUCGGAUCAGGUAGGGAUACCCGCUGAACUUAAGCAUAUCACUAAGCGGAGGA
rnacentral:misc_RNA from 1 species